CUGUUUCUCACACUGCUUGCUCAGCAAGUAAGCUGGGAGUGUACAAGAAGAUGAGAGGGGACACAACCAGCACAGCUGACCCCAACUGACCAAAGGGAUAUUCCAUACUGUAUGACGUUCUGCUUAGCAAUAAACACCUUUUUAAAAGUACUUAUAUUUUUUUUUCAAAAAUGGUUUUUGCUAAACUUCAUCAUGACUUUGAAAAUGUGAAAACAGAUUCAUAUUUUAUAAGGUAAGAUUAAUUUAUGAGAUUGGGGUCUGGAAAAAAAAUAAUAAAACUUCUCUUGGGGAGGAAUGUGAUUGAGUU
rnacentral:lncRNA from 1 species